rnacentral:misc_RNA from 1 species
CAUGUUCUUGCCAAGCUUAAGGACUACUAAUUUACCGUAAACACGGAAAAUACAUUGUCAGUCUAUGUGCACUUUUCUAUGCACGUUUUGUGAUAAUACCGCGGUUAUGCGUUUACGCUAUCAGAAUAAUUUAACAUCAUAAUAGGUUUGUGGAGAUGUUGACUGAAUAGAAGUAGGCGUGUCGUGUCUUACUGCUUCUUCCCUACUUUUUAUUGCGAUCUGAUUCACAUAGAAUCAGCGGCACAGGUGAACGGGUCCUUUUAGCAAGUGGGUGAUAUUUCAAGCUACAAGUUAAGAUUACAAGCACAAAUCAUACUGUGAGGCCAAUAAAAGAUAGAUCUACCUACUUUAAUAAGGAAAUAAAAUCAGGAGAACUCAGAAAUCAUCAUGGUCGACGGCGUGAUAAAUAUCUGGGGUCUGGUGGCCAUUAUUAUAUUUUACAUCAUCAUCUUUAUCAUCGGAAUAGUGGCUGGAAGAAAAUCUAAGAGUUUUGGUAAAAAAGCACAAACAACAGAACUGAUUCUAGCAGGAAGAAAUAUUGGACCCUUUGUCGGCAUUUUCACGUUGACGGCGACUUGGGUGGGCGGAGGUUACAUCAACGGAACAGCGGAAAUCACCCUGAGUUCAGGGUUAGUGUGGUGUCAAGCACCUGUAGGAUAUUCCAUCGCUCUCGCCAUUGGUGGGCUGGUGUUUGCUGGACCCAUGCGAUCCGCAGGGUACAUGACAAUGCUGGAUCCAUUUCAACAUAAAUACGGUCCAGUCAUGGCGGCUUUACUGUACAUUCCAGCCCUGCUGGGAGAUUUGUUCUGGUCGGCGGCUAUUCUAUCGGCUCUCGGUUCUUCUCUGACAGUCGUGAUUGGACUUGACAACACGCUCUCUAUCAUUGUAUCAGCCAUCAUCGCCGUUGUUUAUACACUUAUCGGUGGACUAUAUUCCGUGGCGUAUACAGACGUAGCACAGCUGAUAAUGAUUCUCAUUGGAUUGUUUCUGGCUUUUCCUUUUGCUAUGCACCACCCCGCCGUUUCCUCUCUGGAAAUGACGUCAUCAAGCUGGUUGGGUACCCUGACCAAGAACGACGCUGGGUUGUACUUAGAUUCUGGAUUACAGCUGAUAUUUGGAGGAAUACCUUGGCAGGUAUACUUUCAACGGGUGCUCUCUGCAAAGACGGUGAAUCAGGCAAAAUGGUUAUCUAUUGUAGCUGGCUUUUUAUGUGUGGUAUGUGCUGUUCCAGCUGUAAUGAUUGGAGCCAUUGGAGCCUCAACAAAUUGGACAGAGACUGCUUACGUCGAUGUUUACAAUCGGACUACAGUCCCUUCAGAAGAAUACAAGAACAUCUUGCCGCUUGUCUUGCAGUAUCUUACGCCCCCUGUCGUCUCUUUCAUCGGGCUAGGCGCCGUCUCCGCCGCUGUGAUGUCAUCUACUGACUCCGCCAUUUUGUCCAUGAGCUCACUCUUUUCUCACAAUGUGUAUAGACCAUUGAGGGAGUUCAUGUGUCGCGGGAAGAAGGCUUCCGAGCUGGAAGUUGUUUGGCUAAUGCGUGUAGCAGUUGUGGUCUUUGGAGCGGCGGCUGCAGCAAUGGGCAUCUACAUCACCUCAAUAUACGAUCUGUUCGUCUUGUGCUCUGAUUUUGUCUACGUUAUCCUUUUCCCCCAACUUGUAUGUGUGAUAUACCUCAAGCAGGCCAAUAUGUACGGAGCUUUAACUGGGUAUAUAAUUGGCUGGAUCCUUCGUCUUGGAGGUGGGGAAGCGACAUUUAAUCUUGCUGCGUUUAUUCUAUACCCAUGGUACGACUUUGAGAACAGCGCUCAAAGAUUUCCCUUCAAAACGUUCAGCAUGCUUGUCAGUUUCCUCUCCAUAGUGAUAGUGUCGUUGAUAUUCCACGUGCUUUUUGCUCGGGAAAUUUUGCCAAAAAAGUAUGACUUUUUUGCCUCCUGCAUACCGAAACAGGAAGAAGAGCACCACGAAGAGGAAGUUGAAAAUGAAUUGGGCGACCCAAAAGAGAACGGGCUUUAUAAUUUAGGAUACAUUGCUGAAGAUCAGGAGAAGCAAGAAUAUAAUACCAAAUUAUAAUGCAUAAAUCGACGCAAUAUAAUUCAUUUUUGUAGUAGUCUUUUUAAAGUGUCUUACCUGUGACAUAAAGAAAGCCAGUGUGAUAGAAACAAACCCGAGACAAACAAAAUAAAGCAAUUCUUCAGCCAUUACGACCAAUCAGGUUGCUGGAAUAUGUUUCCCCGCUCUUGUCUCUCACAUCAGCUUGUUCCCAUUCUUCAAUAUCUUUUGUAAAUUACAUGUAGUUGUCAUUCUCCUCAUUCGUCUUUACAACCCACUCUGCAAACUGCUAGUUUAAAGCAACUGGCUAUUGUCUUUUCUCAUAUUUCUGUCAUAUUUCUAUUGAGCUACAUAAACGUACUCGCUUAUUUUUUGAUGGAAGAUUAUGGAACCUUAAUGUAAUCGUGCAUUUUUCCUACCACCAUUGUCAGUCUCUAUUUUAAGGAUUAAAAUCGACACAAACCUAUUCCAUCAUUGAUAUUAGGGAAAUAAUGAGUUAAACCUUUACUUUGCCUAUUUUAAAUUUCAUUAAUUUUGUUAUAAUUUUGUUAGAAUUUUUAUUUGUUGUAGAUUGUUGCCAUUACUUCAACUAAAAUGUAUGCAUAACUUUUUAUCUUUUCUUGAAAUGAUGUUAUCUUAUUACAUUAAUAUUUUAAUAUUACUUAAAAGUAAUUUGCUUUUGAUAGGUAUGCCUUGCUGUAUGUUAUAGUUUCUUUUAAGACUUGAAAUUUUUCAGCCUUUUUCACCAAAGUAUUAAAAUGCACCUAUUUUGAUGAUAGGUAUAUAACUCUUCUUGAAUGGGUGCAGACGGCGAUAUACUCAAUGUUCUGCAUUUCUUGUGAUGCCGACUCUGUUUAUUUAAAAUUCUUGGUAUAAUUUUACAAUGUAUCGUAGCACCCGAAAUACAUGUCCGCCCCUCUUACAAAGUCAAAUUCUAUGAGGUAGUAAGGUUUGGGUGGCCGGACGGCUGUGUCUCCCUUUCUUACCGAUAGAAUGCCAGUACGUCGACGGCAUUUUGGGAGCGUUUUCUUACAGCUGGCUCAUGUAAAUUUUAGACUGUAUACGUGUGCUCAUUUAUUUUCCAUAAGACCAUUGUAUCUUAUACUUUUUACCUAAACCACCUUUCAGUAACGCGGGUAUGUCAUUAAAUUUUUUCUUUAUUUACUUAUGGUGUAAUGUUGCAACAUAUGCACAUGUCUAUAUUGAAACAUAUCAUUUAGUUUUUUUAUAAUAAAUAUUGUUAGCCUCCAGGCUGUUGUAUAGUAUUACUGUAGCAUUACACAU